AACCAACCAACCAAUUUAAAUCUAUUCAGUCACUCUGAUCUGCUCAUUAUUUAAUUCCAUUCACAGGGAAAGAAGCAUGUGAUAUGUGGUACAGUGAAAUCAGCAAAUACGACUACAACAAAGCUGGCUACUCAAAUGGAACGGGUCACUUCACACAGAUGGUAUGGAAAGGCAGCAAGGAACUGGGUGUCGGUAUCGCUAAGGGACACGACGGGAAGAUAUACGUUGUCGCCAACUACCUACCGCCUGGAAACUAUACGGGGCAGUUCCAGGACAAUGUAUUCCCACCAAAAUAAAUGUUUUUAUUGUGAUUAAAUAUCGUUUACAA